rnacentral:rRNA from 1 species
GAUAGUUUUAUAAUGAAAGGAGCUGAUGCUUCGCCCAUUGAUGAGCCCGCGUCCUAUUAGUUAGUUGGUAAUGUAAUGGAUUGCCAAGACUAUGAUGGGUAACCGGCCUGAGAGGGUGUACGGUCACACUGGGACUGAGAUACGGCCCAGACUCCUACGGGAGGCAGCAGCUAAGAAUCUUCCGCAAUGGACGAAAGUCUGACGGAGCGACGCCGCGUGAAUGAUGAAGGCCGAAAGGUUGUAAAAUCCUUUUAUCAACGAAGAAUAAAUUUAAUAGGUAAUGAUUAAAUGAUGACGUUAGUUGAUGAAUAAGCCCCGGCUAAUUACGUGCCAGCAGCCGCGGUAAUACGUAAGGGGCAAGCGUUGUUCGGAAUUAUUGGGCGUAAAGGGCGCGUAGGCUGUUUUAUAAGCUUGACGUGAAAUACUGGAGCUUAACUCCAGAACUGCGUUGGGAACUGUAUAACUUGAGUCAUGGAUGGGAAGCUGGAAUUCCAGGUGUAGGGGUGAAAUCUGUAGAUAUCUGGAAGAACACCGGAGGCGAAGGCGAGCUUCUAGACAAUGACUGACGCUGAGGCGCGAAGGUGCGGGGAGCAAACAGGAUUAGAUACCCUGGUAGUCCGCACAGUAAACUAUGUACACUAGAUGUUGGAUUGUAUAAUCCAGUAUCGAAGUUAACACGAUAAGUGUACCGCCUGGGGAGUAUGCUCGCAAGGGUGAAACUCAAAGGAAUUGACGGGGGCCCGCACAAGCGGUGGAGCAUGUGGUUUAAUUCGAUAAUACGCGAGAAACCUUACCUGGGUUUGAUAUAUAACGGAAUACAGUAGAGAUAGUGUAGUGUUUUAAUAACACCGUUAAACUGGUGCUGCAUGGCUGUCGUCAGCUCGUGCCGUGAGGUGUUGGGUUAAGUCCCGCAACGAGCGCAACCCUUACUACCAGUUGCCAGCAGGUAAAGCUGGGGACUCUGGUGGAACUGCCGGUGAUAAACCGGAGGAAGGUGAGGAUAACGUCAAGUCAUCAUGGCCCUUAUGUCCAGGGCUACACACGUGCUACAAUGGUCGAUACAAAGUGAUGCAAAUCUGCAAAGAAUAAGCAAAUCACAGAAAAUCGAUCUCAGUUCGGAUUGAAGUCUGAAACUCGACUUCAUGAAGUUGGAAUCGCUAGUAAUCGCGCAUCAUCAUGGCGCGGUGAAUACGUUCCCGGGCCUUGUACACACCGCCCGUCACACCAUCCGAGUUGGAUGUUCCCGAAGCCGAUUGCUUAACCUUAAUUAUUUAAGGAGAGUGUUGUCUAAGGUAUGGCUAGCAAGGAGGGUGAAGUCGUAACAAGGUA